AGCGGAAGAAGCUAAUGCAGUUCAGUUUCUGUUGGAACAUUAAUUUAUUUGAAAAACAGACAAGAUCGGCUAGGAAUAGCGCACAGUUGGUUUAAGCACAAGUGCCGAUAACCUGCUGAAAAAUUUAAAAUACAUUGAAGAGAAAAACAACGACAAAAUACAAAACAACGACACAUAAUUUUUGGAUGGUUAGAACGAUAUAAUAAACCGACAUAUAUUGACACCAG
rnacentral:lncRNA from 1 species